GCACCGUGUGGUCUUCCGCGGAGACUUCUGUUUACAGUACAGCCAGCAUUUGAAAUUGACCUUCAGAAGGAAAGGUCCGGCUAUAGCUUUGGCAACUUGGUAAACCAUGGACCAUCUUCUGGCAGGGUUCUCCACAUUAGUCAGCAGGACAGAGAGAGCAGGAAGGAACAUUAGCUGCUGGUCUGUUGACGGUUACUUCUCAAGCCUCGCUUUGGUGGACUGAAGCUUGGCUUGGUGACUGUCUUCUAAUGAACAGAACGUGGACGGAGUGAAGAUAUGCCACCUCUAAGGCAAGACUAUAAAAAACUUUAUGGACCAGUGGAUUUGGCCCUGGAUGUGCUUUAUCAUUCUCUUCUAAUGGCUCACACCAGGAGGAGCCAGCUGUCAUGGUGUGAGGCAGCCUGUUGUAAGCUCAAGAAAGUGAGUCUUCUGAGGUUGGGAUAGGGGAACUCCUUCCCAUUUGAACCUUGAGGAAACAGCACCAGCUGGCGGCUUGAGAGUCCUCAUCAGCUAAGCUACUUCUAGACGUCCAAUGCACAGUAACUACAAGAUAAGAAAUCGCUGCUGAUUUCAUUGCUACGUCACUGUUAUAUACCAAUGGAUACUGAGUAGACAUGAGAAGCUUGUGGGAGUAGGUACUAUUGGGGGUUCAGUGGAAAACUCUCUGGACUUUGGGCAAGGUGAACUUCUCAUGGUUUCCCAUCCAGGAUCCCUUGUAAGCCUUCCCUAACACUCAAUACUGUUGCAUUCUCCUCUUUAAAAUUUAGUUUACUAGGCAGCCUAUGAGCUUCAUGAGACCUGCUUCCUCCUUUCACUUUUUGUCCCUAAUGACAUGUCAGUGCAUGUGGUGUGCAUAUGUGUGUGUUUGCAUUCCUGUUCACAUGGGUAUGGGCCUAUAUGUGUGUGCAGAUGCCUGAGUCUGAUGUCAGGAAUCAACACUGGUCUCUAGUCCCAUUAUUCAUUAAGGCUGAAGCUCUGGAUCAAACUCAGAGCUCACUCACAGAUUGGGGUUGCCAGUCUGGGGCUCCCCAUCUCUGCUUUCUGAGGCUGGGUUACAGGCAGAUUGCCACCCAUAUAUUCAACAUUUAAAUUUAUUCUGAGGGCCCACACUCUGCCUGGAAAGUAUUUUAAGCAUUUAACCAUCUCCCCAUCUCCUGAUUAUAAGACAUUUGUACCGAAUAAAUAAAGACCUAGGUAAAAUUGG